AGCUGGGGGAAGAGAGGGGGGCUGUGUGCAGAUGGCUCUUCAACCUGGAAAGGAGGAUGGCGGCAUCUGAAGGCGGGAAAGACACCACCCCAGAGCCCAGUCCAGCCAACGGGACAGGCCCUGGGCCCGAAUGGGGGCUGUGCCCUGGGCCCCCAGCAUCAGGUGGCGAAAUCGGCGGGGCAUCCAGCCUGGGGACCCCUAAGCGAAGAACUCAGCACAGUAAGCACAAGACAGUGGCAGUGGCCAGUGCCCAGCGCUCACCCCGGGCACUCUUCUGCCUCACCCUGGCAAACCCCCUGCGGCGGUCCUGCAUCAGCAUCGUGGAAUGGAAGCCCUUCGACAUCCUCAUCCUGCUGACCAUCUUUGCCAACUGCGUGGCCCUUGGGGUCUACAUCCCCUUCCCAGAGGAUGACUCCAACACUGCCAACCACAACCUGGAGCAGGUGGAGUACGUAUUCUUGGUGAUUUUCACUGUGGAGACCAUGCUCAAGAUCGUGGCCUACGGGCUGGUGCUCCACCCCAGCGCCUACAUCCGCAAUGGCUGGAACCUGCUCGACUUCAUCAUCGUCGUGGUCGGGCUGUUCAGCGUGCUGCUGGAGCAGGGGCCCGGACGCCCGGGGGACGCCCCGCAUACCGGAGGGAAGCCGGGUGGCUUCGAUGUGAAGGCGUUGCGGGCGUUUCGGGUGCUGAGGCCACUGAGGCUGGUGUCCGGGGUCCCGAGCCUGCACAUAGUGCUCAAUUCCAUCAUGAAGGCGCUGGUGCCGCUGCUGCAUAUCGCACUUCUCGUGCUCUUUGUCAUCAUCAUUUACGCCAUCAUCGGACUCGAGCUGUUCCUCGGACGCAUGCACAAAACGUGCUACUUCCUGGGAUCAGACGUAGAGGCGGAGGAGGACCCAUCGCCCUGUGCGUCAUCGGGAUUGGGGCGUGCUUGUACGCUAAACCAGACCGAGUGCCGCGGACGCUGGGCAGGUCCCAACGGAGGCAUCACCAACUUCGACAAUUUCUUCUUCGCCAUGCUGACAGUCUUCCAGUGCAUCACCAUGGAAGGCUGGACUGACGUGCUCUACUGGAUGCAGGAUGCCAUGGGGUAUGAGCUGCCCUGGGUGUAUUUCGUGAGUCUUGUCAUCUUUGGAUCCUUCUUCAUCCUCAACCUUGUACUUGGUGUCCUGAGUGGAGAGUUCUCCAAGGAGAGGGAGAAGGCAAAAGCGCGAGGGGACUUCCAGAAGCUUCGAGAGAAGCAGCAGCUGGAGGAGGACCUGCGGGGCUACCUGGACUGGAUCACACAGGCGGAGGAGCUGGACAUGGAGGACCCCUCAGCUGAUGGCAACUUUGGUUCUGUGGCUCAAGAGGGCCAGGCCAGCCACCGGCCGCAACUGGCAGAGCUGACCAAUAGGAGACGAGGACGUCUGCACUGGUUCAGUCACUCCACCCACUCCACACACUCCACCAGCAGCCACGCCAGCCUCCCAGCCAGUGACACCUGUUCGAUGGCAGAGACCCCAGGCGAUGAGGAAGAGGAAGAGGGGGCUCUGGCCAGCUGUACACGCUGCCUAAACAAGAUCAUGAGAACCAGUGUCUGCCGCUGCCUCCGCCGAGCCAACCGGGGCCUUCGGGCGCGCUGCCGGCGGGCUGUGAAGUCCAAUGCCUGCUACUGGGCCGUGCUGCUGCUCGUCUUCCUCAACACGCUGACCAUCGCCUCGGAGCACCACGGGCAACCCAUCUGGCUCACCCAGAUCCAGGAGUAUGCCAACAAAGUGUUGCUCUGUCUGUUCACGGUGGAGAUGCUUCUCAAGUUAUAUGGUCUGGGGCCCUCUGUCUACGUCUCCUCCUUCUUCAACCGCUUUGACUGCUUCGUGGUCUGUGGGGGCAUCCUGGAGACCACCCUGGUGGAGGUGGGCGCCAUGCAGCCCCUGGGCAUCUCGGUGCUCCGCUGUGUGCGUCUCCUCAGGAUUUUUAAGGUCACCAGGCACUGGGCAUCUCUGAGCAAUUUAGUGGCGUCCCUGCUCAAUUCAAUGAAAUCCAUUGCAUCCUUGCUGCUUCUCCUCUUCCUCUUUAUCAUCAUCUUCUCCCUGCUUGGCAUGCAGCUGUUUGGGGGCAAGUUCAACUUUGACCAGACACACACCAAGCGAAGCACCUUUGACACCUUCCCCCAGGCCCUCCUCACUGUCUUUCAGAUCCUGACAGGUGAGGACUGGAAUGUGGUCAUGUAUGAUGGUAUCAUGGCCUAUGGCGGCCCCUUCUUCCCAGGGAUGCUGGUAUGCGUGUACUUCAUCAUCCUCUUCAUCUGCGGCAACUACAUCCUGUUGAACGUUUUUCUUGCCAUUGCUGUGGACAACCUGGCCAGUGGAGAUGCAGGCACUGACAAGGACAAGGACAGGGAGAAGAACACUGAGGAAACUCCACAGGAGAAUGGAGCACUGGUGCCUGGUGGGGAGAAUGAGGAAGAGGAAGGUGCAAAAAAUGAAGGAGCAGGCAUGGAGGAAGAGGAGGAGGAGGAGGAGGAGGAAGAGGAGGAGGAGGAAGGGGGUGCAGGGCAUGUGGAACUCCUGCAGGAAGUUGUACCCAAGGAGAAGGUGGUACCCAUCCCUGAGGGCAGCGCCUUCUUCUGCCUCAGCCAAACCAACCCGCUGAGGAAGGCCUGCCACACCCUCAUCCACCAUCACGUCUUCACCAAUCUUAUCCUGGUGUUCAUCAUCCUCAGCAGUGUGUCCCUGGCAGCUGAGGACCCCAUCCGAGCCCAGUCUUUCCGCAACCAUAUUCUGGGGUACUUCGAUUAUGCCUUCACCUCCAUUUUCACUGUGGAGAUUCUACUAAAGAUGACAGUGUUCGGGGCUUUCCUGCACCGUGGCUCCUUCUGCCGUAGCUGGUUCAAUCUGUUGGAUCUGCUGGUGGUCAGCGUGUCCCUCAUCUCCUUUGGCAUCCACUCCAGUGCCAUCUCGGUGGUGAAGAUUCUUCGAGUUCUCCGAGUACUACGGCCCCUCCGAGCCAUCAACAGGGCCAAAGGACUCAAGCACGUGGUGCAGUGUGUGUUCGUGGCCAUCCGGACCAUCGGGAAUAUCAUGAUUGUGACCACGCUCCUGCAAUUCAUGUUCGCCUGCAUUGGCGUGCAGCUCUUCAAGGGGAAAUUCUACAGUUGCACUGAUGAGGCCAAACACACACCCCAAGAAUGCAAGGGCUCCUUCCUGGUCUACCCCGAUGGAGAUGUGUCAAGGCCCCUGGUCCGGGAGCGGCUCUGGGUCAACAGUGAUUUCAACUUUGACAAUGUCCUUUCAGCCAUGAUGGCCCUGUUCACUGUCUCCACCUUCGAAGGCUGGCCUGCGCUGCUAUAUAAGGCCAUCGAUGCAAACGCAGAGAACAAGGGCCCCAUCUAUAAUUACCACGUGGAGAUCUCAGUGUUCUUCAUUGUCUACAUCAUCAUCAUUGCAUUCUUCAUGAUGAACAUCUUUGUGGGCUUCGUCAUCAUCACCUUCCGUGCCCAGGGCGAGCAGGAGUACCAAGACUGUGAGCUGGACAAGAACCAGCGCCAGUGUGUGGAGUAUGCCCUCAAGGCCCAGCCACUCCGCCGCUAUAUCCCCAAGAACCCGAAUCAGUAUCGGGUGUGGGCCACUGUGAACUCUGCUGCCUUCGAGUAUCUCAUGUUCCUGCUCAUCCUGCUCAACACGGUUGCUCUAGCCAUGCAGCACUAUGAGCAGACUGCUCCCUUCAACUAUGUCAUGGACAUCCUCAACAUGGUUUUCACUGGUCUCUUCACUGUUGAGAUGGUGCUCAAAAUCAUCGCCUUCAAACCCAAGCAUUACUUUACCGAUGCCUGGAACACGUUUGAUGCUCUUAUUGUGGUGGGCAGCGUAGUGGACAUUGCCGUCACUGAAGUCAACAAUGGUGGCCAUCUUGGCGAGAGCUCUGAGGACAGUUCCCACAUUUCGAUCACUUUCUUUCGCCUCUUCCGAGUCAUGCGGCUGGUCAAGCUUCUCAGUAAGGGUGAAGGGAUUCGCACAUUACUCUGGACAUUCAUCAAGUCCUUCCAGGCCUUGCCCUAUGUGGCUCUUCUCAUCGCAAUGAUAUUCUUCAUUUACGCAGUCAUUGGGAUGCAGAUUUUCGGCAAGGUGGCUCUUCAGGAUGGCACACAGAUCAACCGAAACAACAACUUCCAGACCUUUCCACAGGCUGUGCUGCUUUUGUUCAGGUGUGCUACUGGUGAGGCAUGGCAGGAGAUAAUGCUUGCCAGCCUUCCUGGGAGCCGGUGUGACCCUGAGUCUGACUUCGGCCCUGGUGAGGAGUUUAGCUGUGGUAGCAAUUUUGCCAUAGCCUAUUUUAUCAGCUUCUUCAUGCUCUGUGCAUUCCUGAUCAUAAAUCUCUUUGUGGCUGUGAUCAUGGACAACUUUGAUUAUCUGACCAGAGAUUGGUCCAUCCUGGGCCCCCAUCACCUCGAUGAAUUCAAGAGGAUCUGGUCUGAAUAUGACCCUGGGGCCAAAGGCCGCAUCAAGCACCUGGAUGUGGUUGCCCUGCUGAGACGCAUCCAGCCACCCCUGGGAUUCGGGAAGCUGUGCCCACACCGAGUGGCCUGCAAGAGACUUGUGGCGAUGAACAUGCCUCUCAACUCAGAUGGGACAGUGACAUUCAAUGCCACACUCUUUGCCCUCGUUCGGACAUCCCUGAAGAUCAAGACAGAAGGGAACCUGGAGCAAGCCAAUCAGGAGCUGCGGAUUGUCAUCAAAAAGAUCUGGAAGCGGGUGAAGCAGAAGCUGCUAGAUGAGGUCAUCCCCCCAGCUGACGAGGAAGAAGUUACCGUGGGCAAAUUCUACGCCACAUUUCUGAUCCAGGACUAUUUCCGCAAAUUCCGGCGGAGGAAAGAAAAGGGGCUACUAGGGGCCGAGGCCCCCCCAAGCACCUCCUCUGCCCUUCAGGCUGGUCUGAGGAGCCUGCAAGACUUGGGUCCUGAGAUGCGGCAGGCCCUCACCUGUGACACAGAUGAGGAGGAGGAGGAAGAGGGACAGGAGGGAGAGGAGGAGGAAGAUGAGAAGGACCCGGAAACGUACAAAGCCCCAAUGGGCUCCCAGCCCCCAUCUCGCCGGAGCUCUGUGGUUUCUGUGUCUCUGCCUGCCUGGGACAAACCACCAGAUUCACUUUCCCUUGGGCCCAGUGACGACGAUGGGGGUGCUCCCAACUCCAGACAGUCCAGUGUGCCCCAAGCUGGGUCCCACGCCCACAGGAGAAGCUCUGGGGUUCUCAUUUUCACCAUUCCGGAAGAAGGAAGUUCUCAGUCCAAGGCAACCAAAGGGCAAGAGAAGCAGGAUGAACAAGAGGAAGUCCCCAGCUCUCCUACCUAGAUGAGCAGGCAGGGACUCCCCCACUCCCCAUCCUCUUGCCACCUCACAGAGCCCAGAGAUAUGUGGAUGGCCACCAAGCACCACGCCGCCGUCUGCUGCCCCCAACGCCUGCAGGCCGGAAGCCUUCCUUCACCAUCCAGUGUCUGUGGCGCCAGGGCAGUUGUGAAGAUUUACCCAUCCCAGGCACCUAUCAUCGUGGGCGCAACUCAGGGCCCAGCAGGGCACAGGGUUCCUGGGCAACCCCUCCUCAGCGGGGCCGGCUCCUAUACGCCCCACUGCUGUUGGUGGAGGAGGGUGCAGCAGGGGACGGAUACCUCGGCAAAUCCAGCAAUCCACUGCGCACCUUCACCUGUCUGCACAUGCCUGGAACCCACUCAGACCCCAGCUAUGGCAAAAGGGGCAGUGCUGACAGCCUGGUGGAGGCUGUGCUCAUCUCCGAGGGCCUGGGCCUGUUUGCCCGAGACCCGCGCUUCGUGGCCCUGGCCAAGCGGGAGAUUGCAGAUGCAUGUCGUCUGACACUGGACGAGAUGGACAGUGCCGCCAGUGACCUGCUGGCACAGGGGACCAGCUCACUUUAUAGUGACGAGGAGUCCAUCCUCUCCCGCUUUGAUGAGGAGGACCUGGGAGACGAGAUGGCCUGCGUCCAUGCCCUCUGAAUUCCCAUCCCUCCCCCACUGCUCAAUAAACCUCCUGCCCUCCCUUCCUCAGAAGGAGACCGGCAUGGACCACA